rnacentral:rRNA from 1 species
UUUAAAUUUAGAGUUUGAUCCUGGCUCAGGACGAACGCUGGCGGCGUGCUUAACACAUGCAAGUCGAGCGAUGAAGCUUCCUUCGGGAAGUGAAUUAGCGGCGGACGGGUGAGUAACACGUGGGUAACCUGCCUCAAAGUGGGGGAUAGCCUUCCGAAAGGAAGAUUAAUACCGCAUAAUAUGAGAGAAUCGCAUGAUUUUCUUAUCAAAGAUUUAUUGCUUUGAGAUGGACCCGCGGCGCAUUAGCUAGUUGGUAAGGUAACGGCUUACCAAGGCAACGAUGCGUAGCCGACCUGAGAGGGUGAUCGGCCACAUUGGAACUGAGACACGGUCCAGACUCCUACGGGAGGCAGCAGUGGGGAAUAUUGCGCAAUGGGGGAAACCCUGACGCAGCAACGCCGCGUGGGUGAUGAAGGUCUUCGGAUUGUAAAGCCCUGUUUUCUAGGACGAUAAUGACGGUACUAGAGGAGGAAGCCACGGCUAACUACGUGCCAGCAGCCGCGGUAAUACGUAGGUGGCGAGCGUUGUCCGGAUUUACUGGGCGUAAAGGGUGCGUAGGCGGAUGUUUAAGUGGGAUGUGAAAUCCCCGGCUUAACCUGGGGCUGCAUUCCAAACUGGAUAUCUAGAGUGCAGGAGAGGAAAGCGGAAUUCCUAGUGUAGCGGUGAAAUGCGUAGAGAUUAGGAAGAACACCAGUGGCGAAGGCGGCUUUCUGGACUGUAACUGACGCUGAGGCACGAAAGCGUGGGUAGCAAACAGGAUUAGAUACCCUGGUAGUCCACGCCGUAAACGAUGGAUACUAGGUGUAGGGGGUAUCAACUCCCCCUGUGCCGCAGUUAACACAAUAAGUAUCCCGCCUGGGGAGUACGGUCGCAAGAUUAAAACUCAAAGGAAUUGACGGGGGCCCGCACAAGCAGCGGAGCAUGUGGUUUAAUUCGAAGCAACGCGAAGAACCUUACCUGGACUUGACAUCCCUUGCAUAGCCUAGAGAUAGGUGAAGCCCUUCGGGGCAAGGAGACAGGUGGUGCAUGGUUGUCGUCAGCUCGUGUCGUGAGAUGUUAGGUUAAGUCCUGCAACGAGCGCAACCCUUGUUAUUAGUUGCUACCAUUAAGUUGAGCACUCUAAUGAGACUGCCUGGGUAACCAGGAGGAAGGUGGGGAUGACGUCAAAUCAUCAUGCCCCUUAUGUCCAGGGCUACACACGUGCUACAAUGGUAGGUACAAUAAGACGCAAGACCGUGAGGUGGAGCAAAACUUAUAAAACCUAUCUCAGUUCGGAUUGUAGGCUGCAACUCGCCUACAUGAAGCUGGAGUUGCUAGUAAUCGCGAAUCAGAAUGUCGCGGUGAAUACGUUCCCGGCCUUGUACACACCGCCCGUCACACCAUGAGAGCUGGUAACACCCGAAGUCCGUGAGGUAACCGUAAGGAACCAGCGGCCGAAGGUGGGAUUAGUGAUUGGGGUGAAGUCGUAACAAGGUAGCCGUAGGAGAACCUGCGGCUGGAUCACCUCCUUUCUA